GACAUAGGUGGCGAACGUUAUCCGGAAUUAUUGGGCGUAAAGGGUGCGUAGGCGGCGCGGUAUGUCUCUUGUGAAAUCUCCAGGCUCAACUUGGAGUCUGCAAGGGAAACUGCCGUGCUUGAGUACUGGAGAGGUGAGUGGAAUUUCCGGUGUAGCGGUGAAAUGCGUAGAUAUCGGAAGGAACACCUGUGGCGAAAGCGGCUCACUGGACCAUAACUGACGCUGAGGCGCGAAAGCUAGGGGAGCAAACAGG
rnacentral:rRNA from 1 species